rnacentral:rRNA from 1 species
UGUGGGAGUCCACCCUGGAAGCCUCUGACACCAUAGCAGCCUGAGGGUGCCCACCUUGGAAGCUAAGCAGGGUUGGGCCUGCCUGGAGCUUGGGCAGGGGAACCACAC